rnacentral:lncRNA from 1 species
AAUGUUCUUGCUCUGCAAUCUACUAACUGCUAUGAGACGACGAGGAAGUCUCCAAGGUUUCGCCAACUGGUCUGCUAUCACCAUCACGCUUGUCCGGCGCGCGUGCUUUGGGAAAGCGUGGCUGGUGUUCCGAAGCCGGCAAGCACAAACACCUUCCAACAGCAUCUGUGUGCUCCACGGCGCGGCGUUGGGAGAGGAGCCCCUGCUAGGUAACGCCGUUUCGCGUUCCCCAGUCGGCGUACCUCAACCUCGAGCUGGCUUCGCAGGAAUGCAAGGCGACACGGUUGGCAUGAUAUACCUGUGACCAAGAUUGCGACAUCUGAAAAGACUUGCCGCUCAAAACGAUGUCGGUGGGCAGCCUGUUAGCCUACGCCUUAAUUUUCAUGACCUGCACAGCAAAGGGGAAAAGUAUAGAGGUUACCGCGCAGAAUGCACCAAAUAUGCGAGGACACGAAGUGGAACAAUGCCAGUACACUGAAUUCUCUCGGAGAAGAGAAGAGUGUAACAAAAAUGUAAACUUUCUGGCUUCAAGGAAGGGCAGCGACUGCCAGUGAGUAUUGAUACUGAGCGUGCGGGAACUUCACAAGGCUAACAUAGUAGUUAAUGCAUGCUCGUAAGUGCUCAGUAUUCAUUAAUCGUCUCUGCUGCUAACAGCGUUCUGGGCGCAAGGCGGAGGGAUACUCUGAUGCAUG